UACGUAGGGGCUAGCGUUGUCCGGAUUUAUUGGGCGUAAAGGGUGUGUAGGCGGUUCUCUAAGUCUGGUGUGAAAUCUCCCGGCUCAACUGGGAGGGUGCGCCGAAAACUGGAGGACUAGAGUGCGGGAUGGGAGAGUGGAAUUCCUGGUGUAGCGAUGAAAUGCGUAGAUAUCAGAGGACACCGUGGCGAAGGCGGGCUCUGGGCCGAUGACUGACGCUGAGGAGCGAAAGCGUGGGGAGCAACAGG
rnacentral:rRNA from 1 species